UGAUUAUAAAUUUAAUUAUUAUUAUUGAUUUUUUAAAGUAUUAUUUUAUUUAUUAUUAUAAAAAAAAAUUAUUUUUUUAUUAUAGUUUACUAGUAAAGUGAUUGAAUUAUUUAUAUAUUAAUAAGAAAAAUUUAUUUUUUGUACCUUGUGUAUCAGGGUUGAUUAAUUUUAUAAUUAUUAUUAAUUUUUCUCGAAUUAGAAGAGCUAAUUAUGUAUAUGUUUAAUUUUUUCAUAAAUUUUCAUAUAUAUAAUUUGAAAUGAAAUGUUAUUCGUUUCUUAAUAUAUCUAGUUUUUUAAGAAAAGAAUUUAAAUUCUCUUAUUAUUUAUUAUUAGUUAAUUUUUAGUUAAUAAUUUUUAGUAUGAAAUAAAUAAAGGGAUAAGCUUUUAUUUUAAUAAUUAAAAAUUUAUUUUAUUUAUAUUUUUUGUAUAAUUUAAAUUGUUAAUCAUUUUUAUAAUAUAAUAGUUAAUUUUAUUUAAUUAAUGAUUUAUAUUUAUUUUAAUUUUUUUAUUAAAAAUUUAUGUUUAAUUUUUUAGCUUUUUUAUAAUGAUUAAAUUAGUAGAUAAAUAUGUAUUUUAUUAUUUAUUUUUAAGAUAAUAAAAAGGAACUCGGCAAAUAAAUUUUUCGCCUGUUUAUUAAAAACAUGUCUUUUUGAUUAUAAUUUAAGGUUUAAUCUGCUCAAUGAUUUAUUAAAUUGCCGCAGUAUUUUGACUGUGCAAAGGUAGCAUAAUAAUUAGCUUUUUUAUUGAGAGCUGGAAUGAAUGAUUGGACGAAAAAAUUUCUGUCUCUUUAUUAUUUAUUAUUUAAUUUUACUUUUAAGUUAAAAGGCUUAAAUUUUUUUAAAAGACGAGAAGACCCUAUAGAGUUUUAUUUUUAUUUUUUGAUUAAUUUUUAGAAUUUAAAAUAUUUUAUAAAAUAAAAAAUUUAGUUGGGGUGACUGAAAGAUUAAUUAAACUCUUUUAAUUGAAAUCAUUUAUUUAUGAAUAGAGAAAUUAUUUUUAUAAAUUUAAAAUAAAUUACCUUAGGGAUAACAGCGUUAUUUUUCUUUAGAGUUCUUAUUGAAAGGAAAGAUUGCGACCUCGAUGUUGGAUUAAAAUUUAUUUUUGGUGUAGAAGCUUAAAUAUUAAGUCUGUUCGACUUUUAAAAUUUUACAUGAUCUGAGUUUAAACCGGUGUAAGCCAGGUUGGUUUCUAUCUUUAAAUUUUUAAUAUAUUUUAGUACGAAAGGACCAAAUAUAUAAUAUAUUAUUUUAUUUUGAAUAAUAUU
rnacentral:rRNA from 1 species